GCAUAACUUUCUACUGGAUGUACCGAUUUUGAUAAUUCUUUUUUUGUUGGAAAGGAGAUAUCCCAAGUUUAGUACCAUGAUAAGGAAACCAGGAUCUGAUGAUGGGAUCCUAGAGAAAUCGAGGGAAACUCUUGAAAAUCCGCAAUAACUUUUUACUAGGUGUACCGAUUUUAAUGAUUUUUAAUUUAAUCGAAAGCCGAUGUUUAUCAUGUGGUCACAUUUAAAUUUCAUCGAGAUCUG
rnacentral:misc_RNA from 1 species